GACGAACGCUGGCGGCGUGCUUAACACAUGCAAGUCGAACGGAAAGGCCCUGCUUUUGUUGGGUGCUCGAGUGGCGAACGGGUGAGUAACACGUGAGUAACCUGCCCUUGACUUUGGGAUAACUUCAGGAAACUGGGGCUAAUACCUGAUAGGUGCUCCUGCUGCAUGGUGGGGGUUGGAUUGUUUCGGCGGGUGGGGAUGGACUCGCGGCUUAUCAGCUUGUUGGUGGGGUAGUGGCUUACCAAGGCUGUGACGGGUAGCCGGCCUGAGAGGGUGACCGGCCACAUUGGGACUGAGAUACGGCCCAGACUCCUACGGGAGGCAGCAGUGGGGAAUAUUGCGCAAUGGGCGGAAGCCUGAUGCAGCGACGCCGCGUGGGGGAUGACGGCCUUCGGGUUGUAAACCGCUUUCGGCUGUGACGAAGCGUGAGUGACGGUAAUGGGUAAAGAAGCACCGGCUAACUACGUG
rnacentral:rRNA from 1 species